ensembl:lncRNA
UUGGGGUCAUUUGGGGUCACAUUUGGGGCCAAAUGGGGUCAGAUAUGGGAUGGGGGGACCCUAUGGGGUCACAUUGGGGUCACAUUUGGGGUCAUUUGGGGUCAGAUAUGGGAUGUGGGGACCCUAUGGGGUCACAUUGGGGUCAUUUGGGGUCAUUUGGGGUCACAUUGGGGCCAUAUGGGGUCAGAUAUGGGAUGGGGGGACCCUAUGGGGUCACAUUGGGGACAUUUGGGGUCAUUUGGGGUCAUUUGGGGUCAGAUAUGGGAUGGGGGGACCCUAUGGGGUCACAUUGGGGGACAUUUGGGGUCAUUUGGGGUCAGAUAUGGGAUGGGGGGACCCUAUGGGGUCAUAUUGGGGUCAUUUGGGGCCAUAUGGGGUCAGAUAUGGGAUGUGGGGACCCUAUGGGGUCACAUUGGGGACAUUUGGGGUCACAUUGGGGACAUUUGGGGUCAUUUGGGGCCAUAUGGGGUCAGAUAUGGGAUGGGGGGACCCUAUGGGGUCACAUUGGGGGACAUUUGGGGUCAUUUGGGGGGGGUUUCGGGGGGACAUUUGGG